CGAACGCUGGCGGCAUGCCUAACACAUGCAAGUCGAAGGGACCUUCGGGUCUAGUGGCGCACGGGUGCGUAACGCGUGGGAACCUGCCUUUAGGUUCGGAAUAACUCAGAGAAAUUUGAGCUAAUACCGGAUGAUGUCUUCGGACCAAAGAUUUAUCGCCUUUAGAUGGGCCCGCGUUGGAUUAGCUAGUUGUGGGGUAAAGGCCUACCAAGGCGACGAUCCAUAGCUGGUCUGAGAGGAUGAUCAGCCACACUGGGACUGAGACACGGCCCAGACUCCUACGGGAGGCAGCAGUGGGGAAUAUUGGACAAUGGGCGAAAGCCUGAUCCAGCAAUGCCGCGUGAGUGAUGAAGGCCUUAGGGUUGUAAAGCUCUUUUACCCGAGAUGAUAAUGACAGUAUCGGGAGAAUAAGCUCCGGCUAACUCCGUG
rnacentral:rRNA from 1 species